rnacentral:rRNA from 1 species
AGCAGCCGCCGCGGGAAUACAUAGGGUGCGAGCGUUAAUCGGAUUUACUGGGCGUAAAGCGUGCGUAGGCGGCUAAUUGAGUCGGAUGUGAAAUCCCCGAGCUUAACUUGGGAAUUGCAUUCGAUACUGGUUAGCUAGAGUGUGGGAGAGGAUGGUAGAAUUCCAGGUGUAGCGGUGAAAUGCGUAGAGAUCUGGAGGAAUACCGAUGGCGAAGGCAGCCAUCUGGCCUAACACUGACGCUGAGGUACGAAAGCAUGGGGAGCAAACAGGAUUAGAUACCCGAGUAGUCCCUGUCUCUUAUAC